UACAGAGGGUGCAAGCGUUAAUCGGAAUUAUUGGGCGUAAAGGGCUUGUAGGUUGUUCUAUAAGUUAGAUGUGAAACCCCUGGGCUUAACCUGGGACGUGCAUUUAAUACUGUAGGACUAGAGUAUGGCAGAAGGGAGGUAGGGUGAAUUCCUGGUGUAGCAGUAGAAAUGCGUAGAGAUCAGGAGGAACAUCAGUGGCGAAGGCGCCACUCUGGGCUAAUACUGACACUGAGGAGCGAAGGCGUGGGGAUCGAAACAGG
rnacentral:rRNA from 1 species